rnacentral:hammerhead_ribozyme from 1 species
AUACGGCUGACGAGUUCAAAAUAGGACGAAACGCGCAUCCUAGAU